rnacentral:rRNA from 1 species
GUCGAGCGGUAGAGAGGUGCUUGCACCUCUUGAGAGCGGCGGACGGGUGACUUUACCUAGGAAUCUGCCUGGUAGUGGGGGAUAACGUUCGGAAACGGACGCUAAUACCGCAUACGUCCUACGGGAGAAAGCAGGGGACCUUCGGGCCUUGCGCUAUCAGAUGAGCCUAGGUCGGAUUAGCUAGUUGGUGAGGUAAUGGCUCACCAAGGCUACGAUCCGUAACUGGUCUGAGAGGAUGAUCAGUCACACUGGAACUGAGACACGGUCCAGACUCCUACGGGAGGCAGCAGUGGGGAAUAUUGGACAAUGGGCGAAAGCCUGAUCCAGCCAUGCCGCGUGUGUGAAGAAGGUCUUCGGAUUGUAAAGCACUUUAAGUUGGGAGGAAGGGCAUUAACCUAAUACGUUAGUGCUUUGACGUUACCGACAGAAUAAGCACCGGCUAACUCUGUGCCAGCAGCCGCGGUAAUACAGAGGGUGCAAGCGUUAAUCGGAAUUACUGGGCGUAAAGCGCGCGUAGGUGGUUUGUUAAGUUGAAUGUGAAAUCCCCGGGCUCAACCUGGGAACUGCAUCCAAAACUGGCAAGCUAGAGUAUGGUAGAGGGUAGUGGAAUUUCCUGUGUAGCGGUGAAAUGCGUAGAUAUAGGAAGGAACACCAGUGGCGAAGGCGACUACCUGGACUGAUACUGACACUGAGGUGCGAAAGCGUGNGGAGCAAACAGGAUUAGAUACCCUGGUAGUCCACGCCGUAAACGAUGUCAACUAGCCGUUGGGAACCUUGAGUUCUUAGUGGCGCAGCUAACGCAUUAAGUUGACCGCC